AGUGAACGCUGGCGGUAGGCCUAACACAUGCAAGUCGAACGGCAGCACAGUAAGAGCUUGCUCUUACGGGUGGCGAGUGGCGGACGGGUGAGGAAUACAUCGGAAUCUACUUUUUCGUGGGGGAUAACGUAGGGAAACUUACGCUAAUACCGCAUACGACCUACGGGUGAAAGCAGGGGAUCUUCGGACCUUGCGCGAUUGAAUGAGCCGAUGUCGGAUUAGCUAGUUGGCGGGGUAAAGGCCCACCAAGGCGACGAUCCGUAGCUGGUCUGAGAGGAUGAUCAGCCACACUAGAACUGAGACACGGUCCAGACUCCUACGGGAGGCAGCAGUGGGGAAUAUUGGACAAUGGGCGCAAGCCUGAUCCAGCCAUACCGCGUAGGUGAAGAAGGCCUUCGGGUUGUAAAGCCCUUUUGUUGGGAAAGAAAAGCAGCAGGUUAAUACCCCGCUGUUCUGACGGUACCCAAAGAAUAAGCACCGGCUAACUUCGUG
rnacentral:rRNA from 1 species